GCAUCGAGGGAGCUGACAACCCGAGAGGUCAGCCUGAGAGGAGGAGGAGGCCUGGGAGAGGCAUCGGGCGCCAGCGGAACAACUUUGCGAAUCAACGUAGCUACGUGGCAGAUAUAAUUCUGCUGUUGCGCAUCAGAGUCGCUCCGUGAAGAUACUCCAGUUGGAAUCAUCGAGCGAAUUAAUGGUGCAAAUCCG